rnacentral:antisense_RNA from 1 species
CUUGAUCGACCCCAGCCACAGCGGUUCGGCACGGUCCUGGCCGUAGGUGGCCAACAGCGCCUGCGCCUC